AUCAUUUCUCGGCCUUUUGGCUAAGAUCAAGUGUAGAAACAGUCCUCUGCUAUGGUCUCAAUAAUUUUUUAAUUAAUUUAUUAUUUUUACUGGAAAGGCAGAUUUACAGACAGAAGGAGAGACAGAGAAUAGAUCUUCCAUCUGCUGGUUUACUAUCCAAAUGGCACAAAGCCAGGAGCUUCUUC